UUUAGUUUCAGUGCCAGGCAGUAGUACAAACCUCUCCAGCAUUCAUCCUUUUAUUGACGUUUGUGUCCAAUACCCAAAUCACAUACACAAGUCAAUGGAAUUAAGAUGGAUUAUGUUUGAUUGGAGAAAACUCUCCCUAAAACGGAACCUCAAGUCUCUCUCCCUAUCCUUGUCCUCUAACUGGGACACCUGCAUCUGUAUCACCUCCAACCUCUCCCAGUGCAUUCAAAAUAGGCAACCUGCCAUGAAAAAGUGGUCAUUUGGCCAGAAAUGGAGUGGAAUACAGGUGUUCCCAUGGACGGGGACCUUAAUUCCUCCACCCUCAGUGGCGAACCUCAACCUGACUCCGCCAUAGCUGGGCCCGGCACAUAUAAGAUGCAAGCAAGUGGAACUUCCACUGUCUCACAGCCAAGUGCACAACCAGCAGGAGCUAAAGAGAAGCCUGUUUUGGGUGGAAAGAGCCGGAAGGGGAAAAAGCCCCCAGCCCAUUUGAGAGCCUAUGAGGUUUCCCCCACAUAACCUGAUCUCAUAAGAGAUGAUCCACACAACCACAGCAGCUAUCUGUGGCAGCCUACCUGGCUCAACACUCUCCAUCCAAGCCCUCUUCCUCAGAGCCUAUGGAGGCCCCAACACAUAAAGGCCUGCCAUUUCACCACUCUGUGGAUGAUACCUCACGGAGGACGCACACUGGGGGAUCAGAGCAACAUUCUGUUGAAUCUCUCAGAUCCACUAAAUCAUCUCAUUUAAUGAGAACAGAGGGCCACUCAUCAUACUGGUCAUCUCAGAGCCGUGGGAGCGGAUAGAGUGGAGUCCCAUCAAUAGGAAGUGUAUGGAGACUGUCUCUGAAAUCAGGCACUAAAAUUACUUAAACGUAUAUGUUUACAUGACUUAUUUGAUUUGAUUUCCCACUGUUCUAUAAGUCAGACAGCCACCCAGAGCUUCCUAGGACAAUGUAAACGUCCUGUCACAAACGUGUAUUUGCCUCCCUCUGGUGGUCGGCUUCAUCAUUACAUCAAUUUAUCACUUCACUUCAACGUUACGUCAAACGGGCGGUCCUUACAAACACUUUUUUAUCCAGCUCGACUGCUUCACGGCAAAGACAUGGCAUAGACAUGGGAAAGCAAUCGCUGAAUUUGUCUUGAGCAGGCGGAUCUAAAUACAUCACUUUCAUAGCUCUACGAUAAAGAACGCGACCUACACACUUCCUUAAACGUAAAAUAAGUAGAGGUGAUUUUGUGUGGAAGUCAAACAUUUUGUUUUACGUCGGAAGCAGACACAUCGCAAAUGCUCAGAACGAAAAAAUCGAUCCCGUUACAUAGCCAUUAUCCUACUUGUCUAUAGGAGGGACGCAUGCUGUUUAAAUGGCCCAAAUGUUGAAUUUAGAAGUGAACAGUUUUUGACUCCCUAAUGUCAUGUUUGGUAAAGUAAUAAAGGUGAAAUAUUUUGGGUA